AGCAGCUUUCUUGCCAAUGUUAGGGAGGUUUCUGAAAGAAAUGGUCUACUUGUUCUCCAAAAUCAGCUUCUUUGUGAAAUCUUGAAGGAAGAGAAUAUUAAAAUAUGGGAUAUUGGCAAAGGAAGCAAUAUGAUAAGGAAUAGACUUUGUCGCAAAAGGGUUCUUGUUGUUCUUGAUGAUGUCGAUAAACCAGACCAAAUAGAAAAUUUAGUUGGAAAGAAUUAUUUGUUUGGCUCAGGAAGUAGAAUCAUAAUUACUACUAGAGAUGCACAUUUGCUUGUUCAGCUUGAUGUAGAUGCAGUGUAUAAGAUGGAGG
rnacentral:misc_RNA from 1 species